rnacentral:lncRNA from 1 species
GGGCCCCGGAUGUAACGCCCGGUCGCAGAAAGCGGGGCGGCGGGCGAGAUGGGCGCCGCCGCCGAGGGGCGUAGAGCCCGGGGAACCACAGAGGGAGCCAGUCUCACGCAGCCGCCAUUCGCCCCGCCGAUGGGAGAGGACCGGAUCACGGCCUCCCGCUGCCCUCGCUCGCCUGCGCCCGCCCCCACCCCAGUCCCCCAGAGGGUCUAAGGCCGGUCACUGCUCGGGACCGCACGAGCCUCGCAGUACCGUAAUGCUAACGAAGGUCUUCCCGGGGACGGCGGCCCAGACGGAGGGCGAGUCCUUGUAGCCUACGAUGGCCGCGUCCUGACAGGUCCCGUCCGCCAUAAGGCUGUCGAUGUAGGCGUUCCACCCGGCCAUGGCGCUGCUGCUGGGGCUGCUCUGCGGGCUGUUGCUGGGAUCGCGGGCUCGGGCUCGGGCUGGCGGGCGGGGGAAGGCAGAGAGCUCGGGGCACGCGCUGCCGUCCGGAACGCGGCUCUGUUAGCUGUGCAGCAGCCCUCGCACCGCCACUUCCUGCUCCUCCCCCCCCCCUCUAGAUUUUUAUUUGCAAAGGGCGGCGGGGCGGGGCCUGCGCCCCAUUCCCUCCCUCCAUCCUCCCCCCCCCCCCGCCGGGCCAGAUAGCGAACUUUUGCAAAUGCAAUUUUUAAAAAACCCUCCCCCCACUUUGCAAAAUUUGCCGAGUUCGAUGGAAAGCCACGCCAAAGGCUAUAUAGAGUGGUGGUGGCAGGAGAGGUUAAGGUUAGGGCUCGCUCCGAUUCAUCCUGAAUACCACUUGGCUAUAGAAGGAGGAAGCCAGAGGAAGCAGGG